UGGGAUUUGAACUGAUAUUAAGACCAUAAACUUUUAAUCAGAGGCGAUGUCCUUUGAUGCCCACAAGCUCUGAGUCAUUCCUACCUCUGAUAGCUUGCAGAGGUAAAUAGCCAACCAACUGCUUGCCUGGAUCUCCCUGAGGUCUAGAUUCCCCAUUAGUGUGCUCAGCCUACCUAUAGACAAAUCUCUAAUAAAUACUUCUUAAGGAUGUACAAUGGGGAUAUAAAUUAGAAUGGUACUUCACUUUGGAGUCAUAGAAAUCCAGCCCCCAAUGUUUGUUUUCUCAAAAUAAUCUUUUUGGACCAGGUUGCCUCAACACCCAGGCGUUUCCAUGGUGGGUUGAACCCAUGGAACAAUAUCUUCUCCUAGGGAUUAAAGUCUUCUAUCUACUUCAUCAGUGGUUGGUAUUCUUCCUUUUCUCCAACCACCAGAGCUUAGCAGGCAAGUGAGCGUGAAGGUAGUGUUGUAAUAAUGCCUUUCUUCAUCAAGCGUUCCCAUGGCUACCAGAUGUUGAUCAAUCCCUGGUUUCCUGUGGCUGUGGCUUCCUGUUAAGUUCCUCUUCUGUGGUAUACGGCUGCCCCGCCCUGGGUGUGUGACUCCCAGUGUGACAGGCUCCAGCAGAUGCUGUGCUGGAAGUCAUUUGCUGUGUUUCUGGCAUUACGGAAGUUGCCAUUUCCCAAGGAAGUCUGCUCAGUAUGUGACUCUGAUCUCUUGCUAAGGGUGGGUGGCAUUCCUUCUUCAGGUUCCUAAUGACUUUUCCUAAUAUAGGUAAAAGGGAAAAAAAAACUACAAAGUGUAAAUUUUCUAAUCCAAACCUCAGGUUGCCCAACAGCAUCUCUUUCUGUCUUGGGAAUUCAGUAUCUGAAGAGGAAGGCCCAGCAUCACCAGAUUGAUAACUCCCCGUCUUUUCUGAACAGGAGCUAAUGGGAGAACUAAUCUAUUAUGGGUGGUCGACACUAUUAGUAGCCUUUCCAGGAACCCCCGUACCCUCUCCUUUUCCUUAUUGGACAAGUCCUUCUUCUACAGAAAAUGCCAGUUAGUCUUUCUCCAGGCCCCUUUGCAAUCAGUAAGUGCAUAAGCAGGUAACUCAGUACUGGGCCAUGGGACUGGAGAGGAUGUCUGCUAGGCCUUGGAGAAAGGCUUCUCUCCCUAGAAGAGAGAAAGCAUCCUGUUUUCCUUUCUGAAGUGAUUAUAUCCGCAUGUGACCCCUGGAGCUGCUAUAGUCUUUUGGAGCCUUGAGGUAGUCAUCAGUGUCAUAUUGCGAAGGCCAGAGCUCAAAGAGGAAAAAUACCUGGUCCUUGAGCUGUUGCCAAACUCAGGAACUGCCACUCCUUGGUUUUCUUGUUGUAAUGAUAGUAAUAACAGCCAGAAAAGCUAUUAUGUGCCAGAUACUUUUAAGUAUUACGUGAGCUUGUAACUGUAUUGUUAAACUGUACAUUUUAGUUAAAUGUUUCUGCUAUUUGCAACUGAAUACACCUUGACUGAUAUACUUGACAACUAGAGAUACUGUUCUCUUCUAAGCCUUAAAAGUCUUAGAGUUGCCUCUUGGGAAGCAGGCCUCAAUCUGUGCCCUCCAAAAUAUAUGGUCCACUCAUCAUGGGAGGAAUCCUCUUUUCCCAGGCCUCAUCAAUGAAACCCUUUCAUGUAUGCCAGGAUCCUAAAGUCUACACAUAAAGCGUCCUGGAACAGCUGGGUAUGAGCUUGCCAUGGCCUUUACUUCUGGCCUGGUCACUUCUCAGUUACACAGACAACAAGAGUUAGUACACAUAUAGCUCCUGGAGGGCCACUCUCUCACAAAAACAUCUAAAUAUGAAGGCCAAGACUGAAGAUGGGGGAAAUAUUUCUAAGAACCCCCCAUUAUUCUCAGCCUUGGUUUUAAUACUUCAAGCAGUCAGAUUACUCCAGAAGGCUCAGGCUCCUCCAAGGACCAGUAAAUUAGUUCACUGCAGCAAAUGUUUAUCUGGACAUAUCUCUCCAUAGCAAUCAUUUUCCUGGUCCACACUCCACUUGAAAAUACCCUGCAUAUGUUAUAUACUUUGUAUAUAAUAAAAUAAACACCAUCAUCAAAGAGCUCUAUAAACUGUAAAAUAUUAUACAGAUAUAAUUUUAUAAGAUGACAAAGAUUUAUUCAUCACCUUCUUUCAACAUUGGAAGCUCUGGGUCCUAGGAAUAUAUGUAUAUGUAUAUAUGGUAGUUUGUUUUAUUACCUUAUUCAAUUGUCAACAUAACCUGCUUUGCUACCAAAUACAUUGGCUGUGUAAGAACUGGUAAUGUUUUCUUUUAUUGCAAUUGAAUGUAUCUCACAUUUUAUUAACAAUUAUUACUAAUAUUUGGUCACCAGUUUGCAAUUUGCCUUAUAAUUUUUACAUAUGUUAUCUCACAUAAAUCUCAGAACAACCUCCAUUAAAAAUGAAAACAUUGAGGCUCAGACUUGCCCAAGAUGACUCAGCUAAAAAGUGAUGAGGUUAGUAAAGGCGCCAGGUUCUCAGGCCAAGGAAAGUUCUUUCUGCUACAAAGCUCUGACUUCCCUUUACAUCACACAUGUCUUUAAGAUUGAAUAGGGAGCACAGGGCUAUGCCUGGGAGUUCAGUAAAGGGCAAUAAGCAUGCUGAAGGUGAGCUUGGCAAGAUCUUUCAGGGCUACAAUGGCUGUGGGAGAGACUUAAGGAAUUAGUGAUAUCCUGAAAGACCAAUGGACUUUGGCGGCUUUAGGAACGGCGUAAAUACAAUGGUGCUGGUGAUUGAGAGCGGCAUGGAUUGGUGUGCAAACACUCUGAAAGCAACGGUGAGGAACAAAUGCAAUUUGGUUGACUGGCAGUAGGAUAAGAACUUCCCGGAACUGUCCUGACUGAUGCUGAAGAAACUUGGGAACUCUGUCUAACCUCCUCUAACUCACAAGGGGGAAGGAGAACUCAGACUAACAUCCCAAGGCUGAGUCCUAUGAGGCACUGGGGUUAAAAACAGUGAAACAGUGAACAAGACAGACAAAAAUGAAGGCACCAAGUCUCAGAAAGUGGAAGGCGAGUUUGUCCCUGGAGAUUUCACCGCUUGCAGGAUAGUGCCCCCUGGUGGACUCCAGGAGCAGUCGGCUGGCCCAACUGUAAAGACAGGCUUUUGCCAGCCUCCUGCUGUAUGAGUAAAGAAACCAAGGGAGUCUAAGGGGAUCCUUGAUGUAAAUCUGAAUGCAGGACCAUUCCAAAGGUCAAUCUGAAAAGCAAAAGCUUCCGUUGUCCCUUCUAAAAUUCAGAAGCAAAUGGCAAAAAUCUUGCUCCAGAGAACUUCUGGGAUUCACGAAAACAUGCAAGAGAACAUCAGUGCCUGUCUUCCACAUUUCUAUUCACUUGCCAUGACAGUCUUCGCCCUGUCCCAUUUCCAAACCUAAUCCUACCAGCACUGGGAGCAUUUCAGCAUUUUUGGCCCAAUAUUUGUUGAAGGCUAAACUGAGUUUCACUGCCACUAACUCUGAAUCCAAAGUUCUGGGGUGUGCUAUGGUGCCCAGAGCUUUCACUGACCCCAGCCAUGGGGUGCAGCAGGUGACAAGUGCCUGGCACACAGUGCGCAUCUGAUGAACGAAUGAUUUUCUCACGUGUAGGUUUGGCUAUACAUCCCACUAUUUCCUGUCAGUAUUUUCUCAGGAUGGAAACAGCCUGAAUAUCAGCACAAGCAAACCCAGGAGGAUCAAUCAGCUGCAAAAUUAUUAUGCAAAGCAUCCGUGAGCCAAAUAUAAAUGACUUUUGGAUUAUCUGAUGUUAUGUUUCUUCUGCAUCGCUGCCUCUUCAUCAGUGUGAAUACGCAACAGAUAGGUGAGCUAGGCAAUCAAGUGCCUGCUUCACCAUUAAGGAGCCCAAGAAAAUAGAAACAUUCCAAAUUAUUUUAGAAUGGACUUCUUAUUAAUGUUACUACAUUUAUGCUCUUGAACAUCGUACUAUAAGGCACUUGGGGAUUUUUAAGUUGAAUUUAUUGUGAUUAAACUUACUGGUAUCUUAAUUAGGGAAGGAAAAUGUGUCAGGGCUUGUGUAUCAAAUUUUUGUCCAUCCAUCUGCCCAUUUAUCCAUCUCCGCAUAUAUCCAUCUAUUCUACAAAUAUUUAGGGAGAUACUGCUGUAUGCUUGUGUGCAUUGGCUGAUGCUGUGAAGAUUUCUUCAAUUUCUUCAAGAAAUAUUCAAGCAAAUAGAGAUCUCUUUAAGAAAUAUUUAUCGAGCACAUAAUUUUCCAGAUGAGGUGUUGUCAAAAUAUAGUUCAUAGCAAGACUGACAUGGUCCUGGACCUAAAUGAAUGUAAUGCAGCAUACAUCAUCAAUAUAUUCCAACUUAUUCUAUUUGGGGGCAUCAAAGGAUUAGGUUAAAUAUAUUCAAAAUAUGAUGUCUCUCAUUAAAUUUAUUACUGUUAUUUGGUGCUAUUUGCAUGUAUUGUAGAUCAACUCAAAUUCCUCUGAAAUGCAUGAAGAAUUUGUUCCAAAUUAAUUUGGUAUAGCAGUGACUGGCUAGCUGUUCUGGGCACAUCACUGGACUAUAUUUCCCAGCCUCUUUUGCACUAUAGGUGUAGCUACAUGACUGAGUGUUGGCCAAUGGGACGUGGGCAAAAGACAGGUACAUUAUUUCUGGACCUCUCAUGUGGUCCUUCACCCUUUCUCCUUCCCUGUUAGCUGGCUGGAAGCUGACACCCAGUUUAACAUUGGAAGCUUUGUAUGGAAGAUGACUCUGUCAGCUUGGAAUCCUGAAUGACUAUAUGGAGUCCAACAACCAUGACUACCACCCACUCCAGCCAAUUGGACUUCAUGUGGGUGACAGAUAAAAUCCUAUUGUGUUAAACCACCAAGGUUUGAGAAUUUGUCUGUGACAGUUGAUUUCUUAUGUGGGUCAGGUUUUGAACAUUUCUCUGUGCAUUUCAGUGGCUUUUUAUAAGUUCAAUUUAUUUCCUGCCUUCUGAUGCCAAAUCAACUCUCUACUUCCAGCUCUUCCUUCUGUUGUAGUUUCUACCUAUAGGAAGAGCUAAGUCCAGACCUUGUUAAAAGGGAGAUGAGCAUUUAUUGAAGAGAGGCUGUGAUGGUUAAAUGUUGCAUGUCAAGUUGGCUGGGCCAUGAUUUUCAGUAGUUUGGCAGUUAUAUAAUGAUGUAAUCAUCCUCCAUGAUGUUAUCAGCCAAUCAGUUGUAAGGGGAGUUUCUUCAGGAGUGUGGUCCACAUCCAAAAUACAUAUGGAUGUUCUGGUAAAAUUUGCUUGCUUGCUAUGGAUCCUGCAUCCAGCUCACCAUCAUCUGGCCUCUGGUUCUUGGAAUUUGAGCCAACGGCCUGCCAUACUGCCUGCUGAUCUUGGAAUUUGCCAGCCUCCACAGCCCAUGAGCCAGCAGCCUGCUCUCUGACCUGUCUGUCUUGGGUUUUUCAGUCCCUACAGCUAUGUGAGUCAGGAGAAGUCUCCAGCCUGACACCUGACUCACGAAACAGACCUGGGACUUGCCAGCCUCUACAACUGUGUGAGCCAUUUCCCUGUGAUAAAUCUACUUUGUGCACUGUCUCUAUAUAUAGGCUUUGUUGGUUUUGCUUCUCUAGAGAACCCAGCCUAAGACAGAGGCAUAUGACACAAGCCAGAUGUACAUUAAAUGCAUAGAGAAGUAACUAAAGAAUAUUUAGAAUGGGAGAGAUUUGGAGAGAAAUGUGGACCACUGUCUGAAGCAGUUUUUUUUUUUUUUUUAAUUACUGUGGUAAGAUAUAUGUAAGAAAACAUUUGCCAUUUCCACUGUGUACAGUUCAGUGACAUUAGUUACAUUCGUCAUAUUAGCGGUUUACCAUGGGGCAAUUUUUUAGCAGGAACAAAUACCCCGAGAGUUCUAUAUUCAUUUAGCAAGCACACAGUCUUACAUAGCAUCAGAGUAAUAGAAUCUAGAUCCUGUUCCCUGCGUAUGAAGAAGGUAUCUUCCAAUCAAAAUAAAUGUCUAUGAGACAUGUGUUAAUCCUUCCCAAGGGAGUAGUAGUUCCAUUAUAAUUAAAAUGCCACCACUUUUCAGUUUGUUGGAGUCCUGUGAUCCAGGCAUUUUCAUUGUAUUCCCUUUCUUUUGUCGGUUUCUGUUCUACAAUGAUAAAACAUUUGAAAUUCUGGUAUUGAAUUCCAUCCCCUCGUGAGACUUUCCCAUUUAGAGACCUGGCUCUUUAGCAGUGCCAAAGUUUUAGCUUCUAAAAUUCAGAUGCAGAGAUUUAAAACCAGUGACAAUCUGGGCAGAUGUCAGUGGGUGAGAGGUUUCCACAACCAGUUCUCAUAAAGCACGUGUCCACGCUGCACUGUGGCUUCUAAUCCACAAAUAAAGCACAGAUCCUACUGCGAUCAUGUCCAAAGGCAGAUAUUUUAUUCAAAUAAUCUCAUACUGCUCUGUGGGAAAUACUAUUUUCAUUAUGUUUGCAAACAUGUUAGCAUCCAUUAAAAUGUGCACUGCCUGCAAGAAAGAUUCAUGGUGAGCUCUUCCAGUUCAAGGACAUAUUUGUGAACAGCUUUCAUGAGACAGAAGUUUAUAACAUGGUGGUUUGAAGUGUGUACUGUUUUACGUUACUGCUCUCAUUAGAAAGUUUCAGUGUACAGGAGUCUGGGGUACUUUCCAUCCCUCCAGCCAUCUGACAGGGCCAAGCCUUUGACAGGCUUUGCAAUUUAUCAGUUUAUAUUUUAGGAGGUUUCGGUGUGUGCCACACCUGUCAACUUAUAAACAAGGAAGCGGGUUGAAACAUGGGCUCCAGCUCAGGAGGAAUCCAGAAAGGCAGUUUUGUCUCAGCUGGUACCUGGGAAUAAGCAGCAUUUUUGUCUUUUCUCCAUGGAAAAUGCAUUAUGAUUUGAAGGUAAUUCAUUAAACAAAUAUCUUGUAACUAUAGAAUUGUAUAAACUACAGGAUUUGAGAAUUAGAAACACCUCAAGAUCCCCUUUUCCAUGUGUAGGACUUCAUUCCAUUCUUAUUUUUGGUUCUAUGCUUUUCUUUUUAUUUUCUUUACUAUCCCAUGCAUGGUAUCCUUAUGUAUUUCAAUAUUUUUGAAGCCUUUCCUUUUGUUUCUAUAUUAUUUUUCUUCUGUCUUAUGUUCUUAUGCUCUGUGGGCUGUUUAGAUUUUCCUCUUGUCUUAAUGACUUCAUACCCUGCUUUGCUGCGAACAUGCUUUCUCCUUUUCCUCUCUGUAUCUUUGUAUUGCCCAUCUAGGUAUUCUUCUGUUAUACAAUGGAUGUGAUACUAAAAAAUUGAAAGCAGAAAGUGUUUAUAAAUUGAAUCUAACUUUUAUGUAGACUUAUAUUAUGUUUUCAAAGAUGUCCAGUAUUAGUUUGGUAAAAUGCUAUCUAGUUUGAGGUACAGCUAGAGUAGUCUUUUUUUUUUUUUCUCCUAGAUGAAUAAUUAUACAGAGGCAGAGGCUCAUUAAGUGUGGAUAAAAGCUUAAGCAAACUUUAAUUUCUAACACCUGCAUUCAUACAUGCAUAAACAUGCACACACUACACAUACACACAUGCAUGCACUACUCACACACACACAUGCACACACUUGUCCUUCCUGGUAAUGGCCAGGUGAGCAAAGGCUUGAAAACUAAUCCUAUCAAGAGCGAAUGGUGCUCUUGAUCAAAAGGAGUAAAAGUGUGGAACAGGGCUUCACAUUUUUAUUGGAAACCAGACUUACUGGAUACAUUGAGAUUGGAGGAACUCCCAAAUCUAUUGCCUUGACACAACUUUUAAGCCUUGAACUGAAACUAUCCCAUGAAGUCAUCUUAAAAUAAACAACAAUUUAACUCGAUUAAUAAAGAAGGUUCAUCUUGAACAUUGUGCUCUUUUUAAAGAAUUAUCUAUGUGAGAUUAAAUGGACAACAGUAACUCUAAAACACAAAUGAGAACUUUAACGGGCAGAGUCUAAAUUAACGAUGGUGAAAUAAUAUGGGCAGAGAUAAGGAGAACGGUGACGCAAUGUGAAGUAUGUAACCAUUGUCAAUGAGCUAUACAUGUAAAAAUUGUUGAAUGAUUAUGUUUUGUUGGGUGUAUUUUCACCAAAAAUGAAAAUAAUAAAUUUUUACUUAAAAGUUUUUGGAAAAAAAAACAAGAGUGGCUGGUGUUCAGUGGUGGGUUGGUUGGCCGAAGUCCUUAAAAAUUUGAGUCCAGAUACAUAGGUUUACCAUCACCCCACACUCAGGCAAAAUAUCCCAUCUAUCCUUAAAAAUUAUGCUAAGUGACAAAUCACAUCUUUGAUUUUAGAAGAGGCCUUGAAAGCUAAAACCAAACUGCUGUGCUAUUGUUAAAUUGUAUAAGUCAUGUUUGUAUAUUAGGCUUUGACUUCUUUUGGAGACAGUCUGGUGACCAAAGGAAGAAAAUUUCACCCUUGUUAGGCUCUAGAUUGGCAGAGCCUAGGCCCGUGGAAGAGAGAAGCGUCCCAGGGAUUCCUUACCAAGAC